GCCCGCCCUUCCCGGCCGGGCAGCGCCGCCAUGGCGCUGGAAUUGGAGCCGUCCGCGGCUCCCCUGAGCUCCUUCCUGAGGGACUUUCCGGCGCCGCUGGGCCCGGGGGAGCCGCUGCCCUGGAGCUCCGCGGGGAGCGGAGCCCUCAGCAGGGCCGAGGUGCCGGGCGCGCUGGCCGAGCGAGCGAGGAGCCUCCUGGGCAGCAGCAGAGAUAUUUCACCACUUCUUGCAGCAUCAUUGAUCCAUGCUGCAGUUGAUGAAGUUCUCCAAACAGACUUGACUGAAUUUAAGCUGCAAAAUGUGGAAGCAGAGGGAGAAGGAGAGGAGGAGAGGCUUACCUUGCUGGAUGCAGAGUCGCUGCAGCGCUGCUUUUUUAACAAGCUGCGGGACGUGUGCUGUGAGUGGCAGAAGCAGCUGCCGCCGCUGAGGCCCCCAAGCCGCUCCCUCACGGUGUCCAUCCACGCCAUCCGCAAUGCGCGGCGCAAGAUGGAGGAUCGCCAUGUCCUGCUGCCCGAGUUCAACCAGAUAUUCGGUCUCCCAGAUGAUGUUGAUCGCGCUUACUUUGCGGUGUUUGAUGGCCAUGGUGGAGUGGAUGCUGCCAAUUACUCAGCAACCCACUUACAUGUAAAUGUUGGGUUACAUGAAGAGAUUGUUACGAAUCCAGCUGAGGCCUUGAAAUGCUCUUUCCAGAAGACAGAUGAAAUGUUUCUUUUCAAAGCCAAAAGAGAGAAGCUGCGGAGUGGCACAACAGGUGUGUCUGCAUUGAUUGUGGGGAACAAACUACACAUAGCAUGGCUGGGGGACUCUCAGGUGAUGCUGGUGCAGCAAGGGAAAGCUGUGACAUUAAUGGAACCUCACAAACCAGAAAGAGAAGAUGAGAGAGCAAGGAUUGAGACUUUAGGUGGCUGUGUGACCUACAUGGACUGCUGGCGGGUUAAUGGUACCUUGGCUGUUUCCAGAGCAAUUGGUGACAUCUGCCAGAAGCCCUACGUCUCUGGUGAUGCAGAUGGAGAUUCCUUUGAGCUGACUGGCUCAGAAGAUUACCUGCUCCUUGCCUGUGAUGGAUUCUUUGAUGCCAUCAAGCCCCAUGAGGUUGUAGACUUGGUCCUGGAUCAUUUGAUGCAGACCAAAGGAGUGGGGCUCAAAGCAGCAGAGAGACUGGUGGCUGCUGCCAAGGAAAAUGGAUCCAGUGACAACAUCACUGUUUUGGUGGUGUUUUUGAGGGAUCCUCAGGACAUCCUGGCAGACUGUCUCAGAGACUCUAAGAGCCCUAGGGCUGAAGAUGAUGCUCAGAGCUCACCUUUUAACUUCCUUAGCCGCAAGGCGGCAGCCACACAGUGACAGAAUCUGUUUAGUCCAGAAUGUUCAAGUAAGUUGAUGAAAGGAACUGUUUUCCACUGAAGAAGCCUCUAAUACCGUGGCCAAAAUGUAUCAGGAAGAAAGACAGAAAGAUGAACAUGGAACAGAAGGGCAAGGUGCCUUUUACUGAGUUCUUAUUUGUCUUUUCCUUCUCCUUUUUUUUCCCCCCCUCCCCUCAAAAAACACUGAGCAGACAUAGAGAUUUUUACAGCCAUUUCAUCUCUGGGAGCAGACACUGAAGUGUGUCCCAGGGCUGUUGGUCAUAUCCUGGAAGUGGUAAGAAACCAUAACAGGUAUAAGCUAAUGGAUGACAAUAUGCAUUUCAUGAAUCCUGAGUCAAAAUUUAAAUUGGUGCUUAAAAAGAGCACUGUAUAUUUUACUUAACUGUGAUGUAACUUUUGGAAGGUGAAGGGGAGACACUGUCCCCACCUCAGAAAAGCUUCCAGCGUAGGAACAAGCUCAGGGUGCAGGGACUGGCUGACACCAGUGUGCUGUGUAAGGUGCUUUUGGUUUGUACCUAAGAUACUGCAAGAAUGAUGUGGCCUCUUUAUUCAAACAGAAACAUUUAAUGUUUGUGUGGAGAGGAGAAAAUAAAACUGGAUGCUCCAGAAAGGCAGAAAAACUAGCUAGAAAUGUCCCAGGGAAAAUGAUAGAAAACCAUCUGCUUUCUGGGAUGCUCUGUUUUAUAAACUGGAAUCUAAUAUUUAACUGCACUGGAUUAUUUCUCCUUAGCAAACAUGCUUAUUGGCUAUUUAGCAACCUGAAAAUAAAAAACCUCUCUUGUGGUAUUUGAGAGAGAUUUUUACAGCAGGUAAAUGUGCUCUUCCUGCCACUAUUUUGUGUACUAUAACAACGGAGAAAUUUAUUUUUAUUGUGUUUGUUAAUUUUCUGAACUUUAUAUUUGGAGGAAUGUUUGCAGUGUUACUUUAUUUUGUUGUGGUUUUUAUUUAAGCUGGAAUUUUAAAGUGGCUCUGUCUUUAUUAUCUGGUGUAAAAAAACUGACUUCCCUCAAGUGCCUUAAGUAUUUCACCCAAAGGUUUCUGGCUGCCUAUCACAGUCUGGUGAGCCAGUUCCUAAUUUUUAAAAUGUGACUUUUUUGUUUUCAUUGAUGCACUUAAAUGUUUCAGUUUGUGCAUUAUUGUAGUGGUAAUUAGAUUUCAAAAAACAUCUUUCAUUGUUGCCAAAUCUUGUGGUUUGUAGUAAAAGCUUCACUGUGACUUACUCCCCUGCCAUUUGCAGAAAGCUCUAGAGAUUUAAUCAUUGAAUUACAAUCUGAGUAAUUAUUUCAUUUAAAAAAAGUAAAUUCUGACCUUUAGCAGAAAAUUUAGUAACACAAAUUAGAAAUUGUUUAGUAACAUUUUUUUCAUAAUAGAAGAUUAAUUUGGCCACACUUCUUGAACCUUUUGGGUCUGGAUAACUUUCUAAGGAACUGUGAAGCUCAGAGGGUGAGAGAAUUGUAGUGUAUAUGUGAGGAUGUUGCACAACAGCUCUGUUUGUGACAUGCUACAGCCUGUGGUUGUUUUGUCUUCCCUGGCUAGCAGGCCUCAACAAGAUCUGAAGGCUCAAUAGUAAAUUUGUUAUUAUUUUCAGUGUCUAAACAAAAAGUGCUUUGCAUCUGGCAGCAAGAUUGUAUGCCGCGUUUAGAAGCACAUGUCAUUGCAGUAUGUCAGUCCUGUUGGUUAAAAUAUGGUGAGCAUUAGUGUUGCUUGGGGAGGAAGUUUAGAUAGAAGAGCUGGAAUGGCUCAAAGGAAGAAGAGAGCACUGUCUGUGUCCACAGUCUCUGGAUCCUUCGCUGAUGUGGAAUGAUGCAGUGACCCAAGGUUUUUGCUGGAAUUACUGAGGAUGAUCCUACAGUUUUUAAUGCAGGAACUCCUCAGUGACCUCCUCUCACUACACAGCAGCUCAGACAGUGACUGCUUUGUUUUGCCACAGGAGCUUUUCUGCUGAGAAGGUUGUAAGCAGUUUUCCACCCUACAUUUUGGUGUCUUAAAAUAUAUGGGGAAGGAUUUCCCUUGCAGCAGCCUGGUGGGGUGGGCAUCAGUGUUUUUAGUGAACCUUCUGUUAAGGAAGCCCUUAGACUUGUUCAGUAAUCCCCUUAGAUUUAUCAACUCCUGUCUCUUUGAUUUCUAGCCAGAUACUCAAUUCCAUGCUAGAUCCUGAUGACCACAAAUGCCUCUUGGUGUGUUAGAAAUAGUUUUGUUAUUAAUGUAGCAAGAAUUGUGCAGAAUUGUUUGAUUGUAAUCUGAGGAUUAUCAGGAAAGGGGAAAAUUGUGUUUAUGAAGGGAGGUGUGAAAUGUUGGUAAAUUCAUAAUAUGGUUUAGUUUCUGAAAUUUGCCAAAUAUCCUCAGAGGUGAAGGGGACUGAACAAGCCAAACUCUUUGUAAUGUUUUUUUAUUUGUUUUGUUUUUUUUUUUUUUCUUUCUCCAACCUUUCUUGGGCAGAUUUGCAUUACAGAGGAAAGACAGUCUUUUGAUGGAUGCUUGCAGCUAUGUGAGAAUAUCCUUUUUUGUUGCAAAUUUGAUAAUUUCUGUUUUAUGGGAGCUAUAUGAAGUGGGCCUUUUAGAUAGAUUUUAUGAUUGCUACAGACAGCUAAUUCUCAAGCAAUGCUCUAGGGAAGAAGUUCUGCAUGCUUAGAACCUGUUACCUUACAUUUGCAUUCAUUCUGACUGACAUAGUGCUUCAUUUCUUUGAGAUGUAAAUGGAUAGGAACAGUCUUUGAGAACUCGUAGAGAUUACAGUGUGGAUUAAAAGUAUUUCUGUCAUUUUCAGAGACUUUUUACUAGCUUUAAAAAGUCCGAUCAGGUCAACAGAAAUUUUAAUGGGUCAAAAAAGGCAGCUUGUAUUUCAUCACUAGAAUAAGUAAAUCCUAAUGUGUUAUCUUCAGGAAAAUCCCAAAUACGGUUUGGAAAAAAGAAAUUAUAUGAAGGAUUCAAGACAAAUGUUCAAUAAUUUUCAUGUGUUACUAGACUCCAAAUGAAUGUCUGCUGCUGCAUUUUACCACUCAGCAGAAGAAAAAUUGCUCUUUAAAGAAGCCUGAAUUUUUAAAACAGAUCACACUUAAAUUCUUUUGUUGUUUGACUGGAAACUGGCUUCAGUUGUUCUGCUUAGUGGGUAUCCAGCAUCUCUUUUGCUAAUGGGUAUUUAAUGCUUCUACCUUCCCUUCCUUUCCCUGUCCUCUCCUUCCAACACCUAAGACAGUGAAUAUUCUGAGUCUGACAGAGACAAGAUUAAAAUUUUACAAGUAGCAUUUAGGGGGGGUUCAUUUUGGCUUUUUUUUUUUCUGAGAAAUAUGAUAGAAAUUUUUAGAAUAGAGGGAGAUUAAGUAAAAUCCACCCUCUGAGUGAUGGAGGAGUGAAAGAGAGACAGAAAUGCAUUUAAGUAUUAUUAAUGCCUAUUUUAAAAAGGAAGUGGGCUGGAAAAUAGAGCUACAAAUGUCAGUUCUUUAGAGCAAAAUACCAGUGCUUGAAAGAAUUAGAAACACACCCAUUAAAAAGGCAGAGCUCAGUUGUGGUAACUCUGUCUUCAAACAGCCAAAGAAGGAGUAGCACUGAAAGUGUCCAUGGUGACUUACUGUGACCCCUCAAUGAUGCCUUGGAAGCUAAUGCUCCUGCAUGGAUUUUUCCAAACAUCCUCCCAUGUAAAGUAGUGCUGAGAGGGAGCACCCAGCCUCUGCAGUUCCUGGUCACUGUGUGAGUGCUGCUGUGAGUAAAGGUGGAGUGUGUUCAUGAGUGGAGGGGAUGGUGAGCCCUGCAGGAUGAGUAAUUUGGCACCGAGUGGUUACAGCAGUGCUGACAGCAGAAUAGUGUUAAUCACAGUGAUAACUUUAAUAGCAUUUAAUAGACACUUCUCUCAAUUCAAAGUCAGAUGUGAUGCUCUUUUAAAAAGCAUUUCCAGUACCAUUAACCUUCUGUUAUGAGGAGCCACUAAAAUUUCCACUUUUUUGUUGCAUUUUGGGAGAAUUGCUUCUCUUGCUUUCUAAAUUCUGGAGAAGUUGGCUGUCUGCACUGGAAAACCUGUGUUCAGUUGAUAGCUUAAAUCAGUUCUUUGGGGUUGAAGCUUCCCUCCCAGGCAAAGGAAAAAGAAACAAAAAAACCAACACCUAGAAACUAACCUGAAUGCUUUAAAAACUAACCUAAAAAAGGUGUUCCCAAAACAAGUAGCUAAGAACUUUUGUAAAUGGUAUUUGUAAAUAGCAUUGCACAAAAGGUCACUAGCAAAUACCCUCUAAUAAAGGGUGUAGGCAGUAAAGUCCUAAGUUAAUAUUCCAGCUCUACUCUUAGUGCAAGUUUCACUCUGUCAGUUAAAUUAUUUGUAUUCUUGUGGAUGCAGGUACUGAAUGUGCAGCACCAGCCAUUGUCUGUUUCUAGUCUUAUAGUACUGAAGGAUCAAGGAAAUGCUUUAGGGAGAAGGUGGGGGGAUAUUAGCCACAACAGAGCAGAUUGCAGAUGAUUCAUGUAUAAUUUAGCUCUGGUUAAGCCUGAAUUAAAUUUCCUUGCUUAGUUCUAUUACUGUCCCUUUUGCAAUUGUGCCUGUGCCUUCAGACAGAUUCCUACUAGGAAGAAAAUGGUCUAUUCCCCCUUUUUGAGGAGCAAACCCUUCUGAUGAUCAAAAUGCCUCCCAGGAAGAAUUGGAGAAGGAGAAAAAUGAGCUUUCAAAUGAAUGCAAAGCUUCCCAAUCUACAUGGAGUUAUGUACUGUCCUUAAACACAAAUUUAUAGCAGAUCUGGUUGCAUUUGAGUGGUGCUGGAAACCAGGGAGCCAAGCUUAUCAUAGCCUUUCAAACAGCAGCAAAACCAAGAGGCUGGUCCUCUCUAAGUUAGUAAAUCGAGCCACUGAACCAGCUAGACCUGUGGAGUAUUUGUUUUGCAGCAUUGACAGCUCCUAAGAACUAAGCCAGACACUUCCUGCAUGUGUUUUGGUUGGGCUUAAUAUAUUUCUUGGAUUUUAUUUAAUUUAAAGCUAUUUCUAUUUAUAUAAGUCAUGUCAGCUGAGAAGUAAACAAAUGGAGAUUUGAAGGAGUGACUGCACCUCUGAACAUGUAUCUGUCAUAGACACUUUUAAAAAUAAUGCCUUAAAAUGACAGAUAAGGUUAUCUCUGCAUGGAACAGGAAACCAAAAUCUUCCAGAGAAUCACUUAAACCUUUAUUUUGGUAUGACCCUUCAGACCUGAACACUCACAAGCUGUUUGGUGUGCCUGGUUCAAUGUGUGUUCCAAGCUGUGCACCCUGCUGCUGGUGCACACAAAAAUAAACAAGGGACAGCUGUGUUGGCCACCGAAAAUUUAGCAAGAUACAGCUUUUGUUAAACAGAAGACGACAAAAUCAAUAGGAAAAGAAAUGUUUUCAAGUUUCUUGGAAUGCAAACAAAGAAAUAAAAAAAAAAGGCAGCCUCGAAGAGUUGGCAGUGCAUUGUCGGCUGAAAACCACUGUUUCAAGCAAAUGAAUUCAGCUGCUUUGUAAUGUUGGUUUUAUUUUGAUAACAAACUCCUCUCAGUCAGAGUUUUAUGUCUUAUUAUGUGCUUUUUAGUUGAAGAGACAAGAUAGAUUCAGUUCCUUAGAAAGUUAAAUAUAUCUGGGUUUUUUGACUAGCUGGGUUCUGACUGAAUUUUCUCUCAACUAUUAAGCCUGAUUACUCAUUUCCAUAUAUUAUAUAUAUAUUUCCAUAUAUUGAUAUAUAUCAAAUUCUGAAGUUAUUACUGAUUACAUGGUUCUGGAUUUCCCUGCACAGGAAUGUCUUUGGUCCUUCCUGAUCUAGUGGAUCACUCCUUGAGGCUAUAUUAUCCCUUUUGAGGCAAUACAUUAUGCAGGUAAAAGGUCUGUUGCUUUGGCAAAUGGAGGUGGAAUGUGUGACCAUCAUUCCUGCCAGGAACUAUUUAUCUUUUUAUCUAAGCAAUGAUGCUUCUUUUUGGAUGUCCAAGGAUAAAGAGAUAAUAGCUAGGAAAACAGAGUGAUCCUAUGGGGACCUUCUCAGGGCAAUAUAAGUACAUACUUUUUUUUUUUUUUUUUUUUUUUUUUUUUCUUUUUUUUUUUUUUUCUUUUUUUUUUUUUUUUUAUGGUGCUCUUUAUAACUUUGUGAAAAGGCAUUCAGUUGAAUAUUGCAUGAUUAAUGCUGCUUUCUUUGUCUGUUUUUUCCACUUUUUUUCCCCCUUCAGUGUGUUUAAUAAUAGCAAGAUAUUUGAUUUAUUUGGGGUCAAAACUUCAUACUGACAAAAAAAAAAAAAGCCAGUAUUAAGUUUUUAACUCUAAGUUCAUUUAACUUAAUGACUUUAAUUACUUUUAACUUCCUCUUCUGAAAGUCAGUUCUGCUCUGUCUCCUCCCUAUUUUCUUCCCAAUUUUCAUUUUCUCUAUCUUUUUUGUCUUUUUUACAUUGUCAUCCUCUCCCUCUCCAAAAUGCUGCUUUUUAGGCUGUAAAAUCUGUUGGUUAAGUCAGUUUAGUUGCCACUUUAUAAUUUUCAUUUCAUCUGUGUCCAUAGUGAGUUUGGUCCAAUCUUUGGAGACCUACAACACCAAGAGUGUAAAAAGAACCAUGUGAGCUAGGAAGAGACUACAAUAACUGUUGCUUUGGCAUGGACCAGUAUUGGAUAUGUAAGAAGAAAAUCCUGUUAUUUGUAUCUUACUCCAUAGGAAGUUAAGGUUAUUUCAGGUAACAAUAGCUCUCACCCUGAUUACAGGACUUCAGAAGUGUUCUUGUCUGUCUUUCCUUAUUCCUGCAGAUUGUUUGUGUUUUCAAACAUUUGCACUGUUGAGAGUUGGGGGAAAAGCUUUCUGCGUUCCUUCCCCUCCCCAGAUUUCUCUCCUGCCCUAGCUGGCUGAGCAGUCAGGGUGGGAGCAGCAGCACAGCCUGAGGCUCAGUGACCUCUCAGUGCCAUUCUUCAGGGUCUGCCCAUACUGUAACACCAGUCCCAUGCUUGAGGAAUGCUGACUACAGUGGCAAUGCAGGUUAGGUGGGAUGUACUGGCUGUGUCCUGCAGUAACAGGAUAAUGAUCUGAAAGACCCUAUUGCAGCCAGACAUGGUGACAAUUUGUUUACUUCCACACUUAAAGAAGUGGUCUUUACCACUGAAGUAGAGGGCUGGAGAAUGAAUUCUCAGGGUGAGGAAGACAUGAGAUCAGGACAGACACGGGAGACUUGACAAAAGGCAAGCUUUAACAAGGGGAUCUGAGAGAUGCCAUCUUUCAGGAAGUUUGUAUAAAUGCUUUUGUACUUAUCAUAGAGAGGAGAAUAAAAGUCUUCAAGAACCCAGAAUGCUGCAUCACAGGAAAACAAAUGAAGUAUUUAUUGAAAUACAAAAAUAACUAUACACCUGAUAAUUCACUAUGGUUAUUCUGGUCAAGAUGUUGUGGGCAUGCUUGAACCUACUUCAGAUCAAACCUCAAGUCUCUUGAAAAUAUCUUCCAUUUCAUGGUUCUAAAUGUCUUUUUCUGGUUUGUUUUUAUUUUACUUUUUUAACAGUAAGAAUUGCAGGGGUGAAACUUCACUUGUAAUAAUCUCUAAAAAAGCAGCAAAUUCCCAGAAAAGUGUAGGCUGGGGAUUUACUUGACUAGGUUUAGCAGCAGUUUUUCAGCCUGUGAUUCACUGGGCUCACCAGAGAGCACAAGCAGCAGCUGCCUUCUGCUGUUCUGUGGUUUUGUAAAGCAGCUGUGGGAAUCCAUCAGCCAGGUAACUCCACAGUCCGAAGCCAAGUCCAGCUGAUCUUUGCCAGUAAUACAGAGCUGAACAAAGUCACUCCAGUGUCUCAUGGGAAUCUCUGGUUCUUCCCAACAAAGGACACUGCCUUCCUCUAGGUCUGAGCCCAUUCCAGCUGCAGUUGAGAACAGGACUGGACAUCACUGUUUAUCCUUGCUGGUGCCCAACGUUGGCUUUGCUGUCUCCUUUUGAAUAGUAGGAGAUGAAAUCCAGGCAUUGCUGAUUCUUGACUGUACUCUUGUACUCGUGACUGUUUUCCUUCUCAUCCGACAGAUCCCUACCACCCAUGUGUUCAACAUGGGGCUCAGAGCCAACCUUCUGCUGUAGGAUUCCAGUCCUUGCAGGCUCUGUUGCUGAAGGAUUUGAGCAAUAAACAAUAAAUAAACCUAUGGAAGUGAAUGUAAAGGAACAGCCCUUUGGCCAGUUUGGGUCAGCUGUUCUGGCCAUGUUCCCUCCCAGCUUCCUGUGUACCUCCUCACUGGCAGAGCCUGGGAGACUGAGAUGUCCUUGAUUUAGAGUAAGCACUGCUUAGCAACAACUACAGCAUCAGUGUAUUAUCAACAUUAUUCUCACACUGAAUCUAAACUACAGCACUGUACAGCUACUAGGAAGAAAAUUAACUCUAUCCCAGCUGAAACCAGGGCUCUGCCAACAGCCUGGAAAUGCCUGUCCUCUACCUGGGAAAUGGAGAGAACAGAAGUGCUUCUUCAGAGACUGGGAGAACUUUCAGCAACUCCUAGUACUGCAGAGUUCACAUCUCUGCCAUUUGGUAAGGGAUAGAUAAAACAUUUUCUGCAUCUAGAUCAAAUUUGCUAUUCAAGUAGCACAAAUAUAGAUUACUUACUGUCUUUUUUUUUUUUUUUUUUUAAUAAAUCAAGCAUAACCUUGAAUAUGUCAUGGAGAAAGUUGUUUGUAAAUUAUAUGUAGAGACUGGAAUGAGUAUUUACCUGUUUCACCAAACUGAUACUGCAGUUUUGCUCAUGUAACUGUGCAGGUCUUUUAUGGUCAAUAUCACUUAUCGUUCAAAACACAACACCAAAAACCCCACAGAUUAAUAAUGGUGGUUUUUUUUCAGUGUUAAGCUGUUCUUGCACUCUUCUGGUUUGGAUCUCUAACAAAAUAUUGGUUGCACUACAGCAAAUUCUUAAUAUCUUGUUAGAUGCUUUUUUUAUGCUUGUGUUUUGUUUUUUAGUAGUUUUUUCUUUUUUACUGGAGUCAAAAUGUUUUGAAGUUUGGGUUUGCCACAUUCUUAUGUCGUUAUGUUGAGCUGUUUGGAAAGGAUCUUAAGUUCUCAUUAGAAUGAGAAAAUAUUUAAAUGUUUAAAUGUUGCAGCUGUUACCUAGCCUUCAAAUCGAAGUAGUUCUUGGAAGGAGCUAUUUUGAACAAGCCUUGACAAAGAUAAACCUGCUCAUUUUAUACAAGAGUUCAUAGUAUGCUUGAGGCACAUAGUAAGGCAAAACCAAGUUCCUUUUGCAUAGCCUAGAAGAAAAAAUUCCAGCUAUGCUGUGGUGAGCCAGGCUAGCUCCAGAACUGCAGUUUGCACUUUGCUGAUGUUCUGUUUUCCCUGAAAGGACUGAACCAACCACAGAAAAGAGACUUCCCACAUAUUCUGGGCUGUAGAGUAAGCGCUUCCAGGAAAAAGUCUGGGACUUGCUUGCAUCCAGCAUGAUUUUCUGUGCAGACCUUCAGCUCUAAGUCUUUGCACGUGCCCGGACAGGGCUUCUGUGCCAAGGGAAGGCAGGAGGGGUUCGGUGUGGAAAAGGCGAAUGGCUCAGCAGGUGCCCAAUGUCCCUUCGGGGCUCUGUGUGCCACCCCUAGAGGGCUCCCGCCUCCCUUCGGCCGGAGCCGGCCGAACAGACUGGGAGGGUGUGCAGUGGCCAUCAUCUGCACAAGGUGUGUGUGCUGUCCUUCCCUUCAUGUUUUCAGCUUGCGGGUGGGCACUGGAAAGCCAAGUGGGCAAUGUUUCUUUGCACGAUAACACCUUCCUUCCUCCCCUGUGUCUUUUAAGAAGUUGCUAUUUUUUGGCAUUAAUUAUGAUUUGUUUCUUACUGGUUAGAUUCAAGCAGUUGGUUCGUGCUGGGGCCCAGCUGCCCAAUACCAGAUCUCUGAUAACAGCAGUAAUUUGGGGAGGGUGCAAAAAAUAAAUUUUAAAAAUUUUUUUAAAGGGGAGGCAAUAAACCUUUCCUAUAAGGAGUGGGACUAAACAAGUGUAGCUUAGAAUGAUAAUCCUUUCUCGUCUCUUAGUCAAGAUUAAAAAAUUCUGAAGGCUUCUUUCUCUUUAUAUAGGAUAUAUAAGAUAUUUCUCUGGGUGUUCUUCUGCAAGAGAUGCAUCUUUUUUUAAUCUUUCAUUUGACAGCCCAGUUCCUUUGUGAAACCACAUUCUGGUGUCAAUGUGGGGAAAGGAAAAAAUAAUUUUAACAAUGGAUGAGAAGACACUUCAGGCUUUCUGCAUAAUUAUAGUCAUUUAAAAUCUUGAGCAAAGUCUCUAUGCUUGGAGAAGUUCUAAGUUAUAAUUAAGCCAAGCUGCUAACGAUGGAUGUAAUUGUUGGGUUACAGACAAGCACAGGUAACAUGAGUUGGGCCACUGACAACAGAUAUUUUACCCAAUUGUUUUCUGUUGAUGCAGCUAAUUCCACACAACUGUUCCAGCAGCUGGAAUGACCAGUAUGGGGUGAGGAGUUUUCCCUGACAGACUUUACUGGCCCACGGUCAUUGGUCUUUACAGGUGCCACGUCCUCCUUAAUGUUGGCUGUCAGAAGGCUCCCUGGAGCACAGCUGCUUUAGCCUUGCACCUCUUGAACCCCUACCAUGACAGACUGGAGACAGGAGAAUGGAUCAGCUGCUGAGAUGAUUCUUCCAAUUCCUUCUUUCUAUGCCAUGUCUUUCUGAAGAAUGGAGAUAUUGUCAUUGACAUGAAGGUCAAAUUAAACAGUGCAGGCAGGCUUUGGUGUUGCAUUGGUGAGUCUGCUUUUAAAACCAAACAGUAAUCCUCUCCCUCUCUCUGUUUCCCCUCCAAAGGAUUUCUAUCUCUUCAGAGUGAUGAAAUAUCAAAUCAUGCAUGGACAGACCUUCCUCUUACUAUAGAUCUAGCACUGGUUGCCUGUACAAUUUUUGCUGUCCUGAUGGAUUAGGACACUAAAGUGGGUCUUCCCCUGCGCCUGAGCAGGGAGGCUGACUGGAGAGCUGAAGGAAGGUCAGCCAGCAACACCAGCUCCUGGGGCAGAGAGAGGACUGGAUUGGACUGCAGCAGCCCAGCAGGAUGCUGGCAAGGAGAAGAGUAUAGUGCAAGAGAAACCAAGGAGGAAAGGGGACAAACACAGAGUAACCACAGAAGGUUACUGCAACAAGCCCUGGAAAAAUGCUUGGGUACAAGGCAAUGGUCCCACCUUCCUAAUCUAGCUCUUAAAGGGUUUAUUCUUGUGUAUCCAUGUAGCUGCCCCUGAAGGUGCUUAUGUCUCUUUUGUAGCCAUACAUUUCUCUAAAAUGGGCUUUGAUAAGGGGACAGCUGCUGCAUUUUUAUUAUCUAUGAUAAACAGCAGUAAAAUCUGUUUAGAGUUCAUGAUGGAAAUGUAUCUAUAUAUUGGCAUUUUUUCAGCUGCACUGCACAAAGGUAAAUGUGACACGAGAUUGGUGCACUGCCCCCUUUUAAUCCAUUUUCUCUAGAUGGGGGCACUUUGCCUCUCUGCAGGAAACACCAGCACAGCUACUGUGCUAGUAAACACUCAUUCCUCACUGCAGCUUCCCAGACUCAUAAAUCCAAGCAACUUGUAGUUGAAUAGCAAUUAAAUAUCCACGUGCAUUUCCAUACCAUGAUCUGGUGCACAAGGCAUAGGCUAAGUGGCUGCACAUCUGCUGUCUGCUCCCCCACACGUGCUGCUUGGUAGAGCAUGAUCACUGACCUUAUCCUGCCACAAUUAAUGGUACAUGGAAAAUUGGAUGCACAGCAUCAUCCUACAGAUAUUUUGCCAAAUCUUUCUAAAAUAAUUAUCUUCUUUCUUUUGGGUUUGUGGGCUGUUUUUGUUUGGUUGGUUUUUUGUUUGU